GUUUGGUGCGUGUCUGGUGACAUUUGCGACAGGUUGCUAAUGUCGUUGCUAAAGACGUGAAGUGACCCGGCAGAGAACAAAAGUGUCUUGUGUGGCAAAAGAUGGCAAAAACGUACGAUUAUCUCUUUAAAUUGUUGUUAAUUGGUGACUCAGGCGUUGGGAAAACAUGUGUUUUAUUUCGCUUUUCGGAGGACGCUUUCAAUACGACGUUCAUUUCGACGAUCGGUAUCGAUUUUAAAAUCAGGACGAUAGAUCUCGAUGGUAAAAAAAUUAAAUUGCAAAUAUGGGACACAGCCGGUCAGGAACGCUUCAGGACCAUUACGACGGCUUACUACCGGGGGGCGAUGGGCAUAAUGUUGGUCUACGACAUAACGAACGAGAAAAGCUUCGAAAACAUCAAAAACUGGAUACGAAACAUCGAAGAGAACGCGUCGGCGGACGUGGAAAAAAUGUUGUUGGGUAAUAAGUGUGAAUUGGAGGAAAAAAGACAAGUUUCGAAAGAAAGGGGCGAACAAUUGGCGAUCGAAUACGGUAUUAAAUUCAUCGAGACGAGUGCGAAAGCGAGCAUACGCGUUGAAGAAGCCUUUUUUACUUUAGCUAGAGAUAUCAAGGCGAAAAUGGAAAAGAAAUUGGUGAGUUUUGUCAUAACAUCUUUCUUAUACACCUUUAUGUGAAUCUCAAAACUAAUUUUAUUUAUUUUUCUUGCCCCUCUUGAAUUGGCAGAAGGAGGCGAGCAAUCCCCCGAAAGGCGGCCACCAGCUGAAAGCCACAGAACCACAACGAAAGCCAACGAAUUGGCUGUCUCGAUGCACCCUACUCUGACCAAUCGGCGGAGUUUAAACGCCCUUAUAUACUAAUCGUUCACAUCACAGCCUUAAAGGGAGAGUCGAUUCUUGUCGUUUCUCAAGGGUGGUAGGCUUCGUUUGGUACCAGAGGUCAUCAGGUUGUGGUGUGUUGUGUAAAUAGUCGGCACGACAUGUCGUUCGGUGUUUUGUGACUUAAUCGAAGUCGUUCAAUUUUAAAUCAGGCGAAAGGGACCAACUUUUCGUUGAGAAAUGCACAAGUGAAUGAUAUACUUUGUUAUUUAUGAUUCGGUUUGAAGGCCCCGUUUUCCCUCACAAAACACCGGAUGGUAUGUCAGCGACCUUGAUAAUACUUAUGUGAUUAAGGGUAAUUAUUUUUUUUACCGUUGUAUUUUUUUAGAUAAUUUAUAGGUAUAUUUAUACGUGUGCACAUUAAAUUAAAGACGAUUGUAUUCUUGAUGGCGGUUGCAGACCUUCUCAUAAAAAUGAUAUGUCAAUUACUGUUUUCAACGGCCAUUAAGGGUAUUGUUUCAAGGAUUCUUUGUUGUGAUUGCGAUUCAUUUAUAUUUUUUAAAAACUAGUUAUGUCUUUAUUCAUUUUUUAAUAGUAGAUAAAUCGAACAACCCGAUGGAAAUCAGUCCGUUUUAUUUGUGUACAUAAAUUAUUUUCGUUUUUCUUGUCCAAAGUAUUAUUGAAAAAUUCUUUGUUGGGCGUUUACAAAAAAUUGUAUAUCAAGUUUCGUUGCAAAAAAGAUAUUAAAGGAGACUAGAUUUUGUACGUUUGUAUAUUUACAUUUCACAAAUUGUUUAAGAAUUAUCGCCCUCUAGGUUUAGCGAUUACACUAAGUAAAUAAAAUGACGGAAAUAUC